AAUUAAACUAGAUCCAUCAUCUAAAAAUUUUUGGACCUGUAAGAGAUGAACUGUCGUCUGUAAUAUAGGCAGUUGAGCUUUUUGACUAUUACGCGCAAGAUGUUCUAGUAUUUGAUCAUCGUUUUCAUUUUUUUCUGGAGAAGGAUUCGAGUAUUGUGACCGCUUAAACUCAAACAUCCAGGCCAAUGCAAAAUUAAGACAAGCAGUAUCGCCGCUUUCACGAGCAGUAUUAAUCGUAUCUUCAAUCGCAUGAAGAGCUUCUUCAUUACAGCCAAAAUCGGCUUGAAGCAUGGCAAGAUUGAGGAGAGCGUACUGAUAAGAAACCUUUUCAUCAGAAUGCAUAAUGUGAUCAAAAUAUCUGCAAAGAUUUUCCACGGAUUGCUGAUAAUCACCACUAAACCAGGAAUUUAAGAAUCUUAGU